AGUGCACGGAAGCUUUUGGGCAUGAUUUAUCCUCACUAUACCUCACACUGGGUGGGAAAAGUUGGCACUGGAUCUCACAUAGCAGCUUGUAACAAAGCUCUUGCGCAAUAAAGAAGCAUUUCAACCGCUGCUUCUUGCAGCAGUACAGUGUUUCCAAAGAGAGAAAAACACCACUACUGGCAUAAACUGGAUUUCUGCUGUUGGUUGAGCAUGUGCAGUGGAAUUGCCAGGUCACAGCCUGAGCCAGUACGUGAGCACAUGAGUGCCUGGAGCUGGGGGAGCCUAGAUCCACCCUUCCUCUUUCUCCGUCCCAGCAGUGCUUCUGGGAGCGCGUACGCAGUCAGUCCGCAGGGGUCUCCUCAGCCCCCCCCCACGCCCCCCCAGGCCCGUCCCCCCCUUCUUCCAGCGAUCCAGAUUUCAAAGCGGAGAAGGCUGUGUUCCUCAGCUCACCCC